rnacentral:rRNA from 1 species
GUCCACGCCGUAAACGAUGUCUACUAGCCGUUGGGUUCCUUGAGGACUUAGUGGCGCAGCUAACGCAAUAAGUAGACCGCCUGGGGAGUACGGUCGCAAGAUUAAAACUCAAAUGAAUUGACGGGGCCGCACAAGCGGUGGAGCAUGUGGUUUAAUUCGACGCAACGCGAAGAACCUUACCAGGUCUUGACAUCCAGAGAACUUUCCAGAGAUGGAUUGGUGCCUUCGGAACGUCUGAGACAGGUGGCUGCAUGGCUGUCGU